AGCCUCCGCCCGACGUUCACGCUGCCCUUCCUUGAUUCUCUUUCUACCCCCUUCGCUUCUUCAGGCUGUAUCUGCCUGUGCCGCCUGAGGGAGGAGCGGGGCGCGGGUGGAGGGGCAGACACGGGGAGAAAGAGGAGCGAUUCCCUAAGGAUGGCCUUGGCUUUCCAGAUCUGUUUUUCAGUUCCAUAAGAGACCUUUUUACCCUUUGCGCUAAAUAGAUCAACAGUGAUAACGAUGGGGAUGGCAAAAUACUGCAAGGGUUAAGGAUCAUUAUCAGGUCCUGUUCCUGCAAUGGGAUCCAAUAUCCCAGACCUGCAAUGUCGAUUGCUAUGUUGCAGGGGUGUGGACUAGCAAAUCCUGGCACAGGAGUGGGGCUGUAUAUUGCGAGCUCAUUGCAGCAGGGACAGUUUGUGUUUAUUCUAUAAAAUGCAUACACACUCUUGAGUAUUAAUGAUAAAAAUAAUA